GACCUUACUUGAACAGGAUCUGUUCUAACUCAAGGAGACAAGAACCACAGCUUGGUUGAUGACUUAUGACCAGGUGACUAGAGCGUGAUUAUUGGUCUGGGCUGCCCAGUGUUGGGUUCAGCCGGGCCGCAGAGGAUCGUUCCCAGGCAGUUCAACUGUGUGGGAUGGUCACUUGGUUGUCUGACAAGUU